rnacentral:lncRNA from 1 species
CACUUUUUUCAAAAACCAUAUGCAAGCUAUGCUAGAAAAAUAGACUUUAAGAAUAUGAUUACUUUGGAUGUUACAAUGACCCCUUGAGAAAAUUAUGAUAACUAUUCUAGUUUGAAAUUUAAGAUGGAGUUUACAUAUUUAUUUCUAAAAUCCUAAAAAACCUUCAUUUUAAAUACUUUAACAAAAUUUUCUUUUAAAAAGAAUUUAAAAAAUCAUGCAAGACCAAUACUUUUGCACCAAUCAUCUAAAGGUUGAACAAGGAGUUAAGGACUCCAAAGAAAAAAAUAUAGGUUGUGAUUCUCUAAGAAAAAUGUCCUAUCCUUCAACAGACAAUACAAAACUACAAAAGUUAAAGAAAGAAAAAGCAAGAGAUAGAAUUAGCUACAAGGAAAGACAAUAAUAGUAGGUUUUUCUUCAUAAUAAGUUAUUGGAGCAUGGGUCUAAGAUUAGCAAAUACGAGGUGUAAUAGUCAUAUUUCUCGAUAUGGAAGAAGGCAUGUAGUUAAGAUAUAUAUCAUUAUGGCUGUGAUCGAUUCUUUUGGUUUGCGGAAAGCUGGAUGAGGCAUGAGUGUACUCACAAGAUGUUGAAGAAUGAGGAGGGUUGGAAUUUUAAUAUUGGAGCAUGUAUGUAUGUUUCAAAAAAAAAUUUUCAAACAUUGCAACGGAAUAAAAAAUUAAAACAUCUUUUAAUCUACAUCAUGCAUGCAUAAAACAUAAACCAAUAGAUCAUCAUGCAUGCAUCACACAACUACAGUAUCGAGACAAUCACUAACGAUCGAGUAGAAAUUCAAGUGAUCUCUUAUAUGAUCACGCUCAGUACUAGUUAUUCUCUAACAAUUAUCCGUACUCGUCACUCAAUAUCUCUACACUAUAGAUCAGAGACUCAUCU